rnacentral:rRNA from 1 species
UACAGAGGGGGCAAGCGUUAUUCGGAAUUAUCGGGCGUAAAGGGCGCGUAGGCGGCCUGGCAAGUGGAAGGUGAAAUCCCUCGGCUUAACCGAGGAACUGCCCUCCAAACUGCUUGGCUUGAGUCCGGGAGAGGUGAGUGGAAUUCCCAGUGUAGCGGUGAAAUGCGUAGAUAUUGGGAGGAACACCAGUGGCGAAGGCGGCUCACUGGACCGGAACUGACGCUGAGGCGCGAAAGCGUGGGGAGCAAACGGG